rnacentral:rRNA from 1 species
ACGUAAUAGAUACCCGGGUAGUCCACGCCCUAAACGAUGCGAACUGGAUGUUGGGUGCAACUAGGCACUCAGUAUCGAAAGCUAACGCGUUAAGUUCGCCGCCUGGGGAGUACGGUCGCAAGACUGAAACUCAAAGGAAUUGACGGGGGCCCGCACAAGCGGUGGAGUAUGUGGUUUAAAUUCGAUGCAACGCGCAGAACCUUACCUGGCCUUGACAUCCACGGAACUUUCCAGAGAUGGAUUGGUGCCUUCGGGAACCGUGAGACAGGUGCUGCAUGGCUGUCGUCAGCUCGUGUCGUGAGAUGUUGGGUUAAGUCCCGCAACGAGCGCAACCCUUGUCCUUAGUUGCCAGCACGUAAUGGUGGGAACUCUAAGGAGACCGCCGGUGACAAACCGGAGGAAGGUGGGGAUGACGUCAAGUCAUCAUGGCUCUUACGGCCAGGGCUACACACGUACUACAAUGGUGGGGACAGAGGGCUGCAAUCCCGCGAGGUGAGCCAAUCCCAGAAACCCCAUCUCAGUCCGGAUUGGAGUCUGC